GACGAACGCUGGCGGCGUGCCUAAUACAUGCAAGUCGAACGCUUCUUUCCUCCCGAGUGCUUGCCUUCAAUUGGAAAGAGGAGUGGCGGACGGGUGAGUAACACGUGGGUAACCUACCCAUCAGAGGGGGAUAACACUUGGAAACAGGUGCUAAUACCGCAUAACAGUUUAUGCCGCAUGGCAUAAGAGUGAAAGGCGCUUUCGGGUGUCGUUGAUGGAUGGACCCGCGGUGCAUUAGCUAGUUGGUGAGGUAACGGCUCACCAAGGCCACGAUGCAUAGCCGACCUGAGAGGGUGAUCGGCCACACUGGGACUGAGACACGGCCCAGACUCCUACGGGAGGCAGCAGUAGGGAAUCUUCGGCAAUGGACGAAAGUCUGACCGAGCAACGCCGCGUGAGUGAAGAAGGUUUUCGGAUCGUAAAACUCUGUUGUUAGAGAAGAACAAGGACGUUAGUAACUGAACGUCCCCUGACGGUAUCUAACCAGAAAGCCACGGCUAACUACGUG
rnacentral:rRNA from 1 species